UCUCCUGGCAGUCCAACGGUUUGGACUCUACACUUCCACUGCAGGGGGCACAGGUUCGAUCCCUGGUCAGGGGGA
rnacentral:tRNA from 1 species